rnacentral:rRNA from 1 species
GUGCCAGCAGCCGCGGUAAUACAGAGGGUGCAAGCGUUGUUCGGAAUUAUUGGGCGUAAAGGGAGUGUAGGCGGCUAGGAAAGUCUUCUGUGAAAUCUACGGGCUCAGCCUGUAACGUGCAGAGGAAACUAUCUGGCUAGAGUGUCGGAGAGGAUAGGGGAAUACCCGGUGUAGAGGUGAAAUUCGUAGAGAUCGGGUGGAACACCAGUGGCGAAGGCGCCUGUCUGGCUGACAACUGACGCUGAGACUCGAAAGCAUGGGGAGCAAACAGGAUUAGAUACCCCGGUAGUCC